rnacentral:rRNA from 1 species
AGUGAACGCUGGCGGUAGGCCCAACACAUGCAAGUCGAACGGCAGCACAGUAAGAGCUUGCUCUUACGGGUGGCGAGUGGCGGACGGGUGAGGAAUACAUCGGAAUCUACUUUUUCGUGGGGGAUAACGUAGGGAAACUUACGCUAAUACCGCAUACGACCUACGGGUGAAAGCAGGGGAUCUUCGGACCUUGCGCGAUUGAAUGAGCCGAUGUCGGAUUAGCUAGUUGGCGGGGUAAAGGCCCACCAAGGCGACGAUCCGUAGCUGGUCUGAGAGGAUGGUCAGCCACACUGGAACUGAGACACGGUCCAGACUCCUACGGGAGGCAGCAGUGGGGAAUAUUGGACAAUGGGCGCAAGCCUGAUCCAGCCAUACCGCGUGGGUGAAGAAGGCCUUCGGGUUGUAAAGCCCUUUUGUUGGGAAAGAAAAGCAGCAGGUUAAUACCCCGCUGUUCUGACGGUACCCAAAGAAUAAGCACCGGCUAACUUCGUG